CCUACGGGUGGCAGCAGUGAGGAAUAUUGGUCAAUGGACGCAAGCCUGAACCAGCCAUGCCGCGUGCAGGAUGACGGCUCUAUGAGUUGUAAACUUCUUUUGUACGAGGGUAAAGUCAGAUACGCGUAUCUUUCUGAAAGUACUGUACGAAUAAGGAUCGGCUAACUCCGUGCCAGCAGCCGCGGUAAUACGGAGGAUUCAAGCGUUAUCCGGAUUUAUUGGGUUUAAAGGGUGCGUAGGCGGUUGGAUAAGUUAGAGGUGAAAUCCAGGGGCUCAACUUCGGACUUGCCUCUGAUACUGUUCGGCUAGAGAGUAGUUGAGGUAGGCGGAAUGUAUGGUGUAGCGGUGAAAUGCUUAGAGAUCAUACAGAACACCGAUUGCGAAGGCAGCUUACCGGGCUACUACUGACGUUGAGGCACGAAAGCGUGGGGAGCAAACAGGAUUAGAUACCCGGGUAGUC
rnacentral:rRNA from 1 species